rnacentral:rRNA from 1 species
UACGUAGGGUCCGAGCGUUGUCCGGAAUUAUUGGGCGUAAAGGGCUCGUAGGCGGUUUGUUGCGUCGGGAGUGAAACUUGCAGCUUAACUGUGAGCGUGCUUCCGAUACGGGCAGACUUGAGGUAUUCAGGGGAGAACGGAAUUCCUGGUGUAGCGGUGAAAUACGCAGAUAUCAGGAGGAACACCGGUGGCGAAGGCGGUUCUCUGGGAAUAUCCUGACGCUGAGGAGCGAAAGUGUGGGAGCGAACAGG